rnacentral:lncRNA from 1 species
UUGGCAUCGGAUUGAACGUAGCAGUGGGAAGUUCAUGAGGAGGUUUCGGUUGCCAGAAAAUGUGAAGAUGGAGCAGGUGAAAGCUUCCAUGGAAAAUGGGGUCCUUACUGUUACUGUUCCCAAGGAGGAAGUGAUGAAACCUGAUCUCAAAUCCAUUGAAGUUUCGUGAAACGUAUGCAACUAUACAUAUAUAAUAUUAUACUGCCCAUUUACAGCUUUGAGUUUUACACAAUAGUUAACGGAAAUAAAAUACAAAACAAUUUUUUUUUUUUUAAUCUUAUAAAAUCUUGGUGCAACCCAUAUAUUGUAUUCAUUUCUUCAAUCAUUAGCCUCGAAAAUUUCUAAAUAAAAUUAAAUGGGGCACUAUACUUAAAAGUAUGGUAUGAUCCUUUUGUCACUUGUGGUUAUGUCCAUUCAUUACAAAAUUUUCUUUUCUAGCAAAUUAUUUAUUAAAAAAUAUCAGAAGGCUUUAUACAAAAUUGGGAAAAAAAAUGCACGUUCUAGUGUAGAAACUACAAUUUCACAAAGUUUUAGUACUUUAUUUAUUAACUAUUGUGGUACUUGACUCUAAUAUAUCGGAUAUAAUUUGAUAACGUGACGUGUUGAUUAAUUAAACAAUGUUAAUUAAGGUUAAUUAAUUUAGCAAUGAGGCUCUGGUGAACUUGCACCAUCGAUUAUGGUUCUGUAGAGUGUUACGCCAUCUUUGGUCGGCUCUUUGUCUCCCUUUGGUCACCAGAAUAGACUCUUCAGAUGGAAGAUAACAAUUUGUUAGUUUCUUUCUUGCAGGUAAUGGGAAUACUAAAAAGCUUAUAUCUAUCUCCUUAUGGGUUCUUUGGCACAGGAGGAAUAGACUGGUGAAUGAAGGUCUUAAUUUCGCUUUACAUGAAGUUGUGGGACUUGUUCAAAGCUUUGCCCAAGUUUUAAAUUUAGUCAAGUUUUCAGUUCUCCAUCUGUUACGCAUAGGACUCUUCUAUGGCAGCCUCCUAUUUCUGGUUUUAUUAAACUGAAUUUUGACGCAUCGUUCCUAGAAAAUUCUAAGACUUCUAUUUCAGCAGUUUUAGCUAGAGAUGAGGAAGGGCAGAUUUUAGGUGCUUGUACGUAACCGAUAGCGGAUGUGGCAGAUGCUUUUGUAGCUGAGGCGAGAGCAUGUGAACGGGCUUUUUGUUUUGCGCUAGAUAUGGGUUUCAGAAAUCUCAUCCUGGAAGGUGACUCUCUUACUGUCAUCAAGAAACUGACAUCAAACAAAAUGGAUAGAUCUAUUCUCAGCCCAAUUUCACAGAAUAUUCGUUCUCUUGAGAGGUUUUUUGAGAAAGUGUCUUACCAGUUUGUCUCCAGAGAAAUAAAUAGAGCGGGGCAUGCUUUAGCGAUGGAGGGACGACAUCGGGUAUCUCCCUAUUUUUGGGUUGAGAAGGCUCCUUCCUCUGUUGCAGAUUUAGCUGAGAUGGACCGCUCUACUUUCUUCCUUUAGGUUUGAGAUGUGAGUAGACUUUGAAGAUUUGAUAAGGUUCGCGGAAUCUCCUUUGCUGGGUUUCAAAGUCAAUUUUCCUAAUCUCUGUUUUGUGCUUCUAAUGGGGUUUUUUCUCUGGAAAGCUUUUGGCUGAUAUUCCUCUUGUUUUCUGCUGGUGGUUUUCUCCUUCUGUGGCUGGUUUUGUGUUGGUUUGCUUUGUUGGUUUUUGCUUUUCUGUUUGGAUUUGAUUAGUUAGCUUCUGUAGUGGUUUAUUUUUGUCGUUUCUGCUUCUUUUUAAACUUUCUUUACUGUUAUGUCAGGUUUUUUCUACCACUUUAUUAAUGGAAUAUCAGCUUUACUUAAAAAAAAUUAAUGUUUUUUCAAAAUAAAUUUUACCUCAAAGGUACUUUUAAAAAUCUCAAAAACAUAUUAUUUAAUAAUACUUUAUUUCAAAAAUAUUUUUUAUCCCAAAAGUGUUUUUGAAAAUCAAUGUUAAACUGAUCAUUGACAUUUGAUCAUUU